AAAAGAAAGCCCACUCCACCAUAUAGUUCAUGACAGCGAUGCACAAAAAAUACUUUGCCAACAACCAAACAUCUGAAAUAAAAAAAAAAGGCUAUGUUUCCCAGGCUCUAUGUUUCCGAGUCUCACAGGCUCUAACAAAGUCCAGAAUAUAUGAUGAAUAACUACAGAGUUCAGACCUGCUCAAAACAUUUUAGGAAAAUUCAAGUUAUUACAUCACCAGCAGGUGAAAACAUAAAUAACUAUUGAAAAUUUCAGACAAUAAUACCAGU
rnacentral:lncRNA from 1 species